CUUGGUCAUUUAGAGGAAGUAAAAGUCGUAACAAGGUCUCCGUAGGUGAACCUGCGGAGGGAUCAUUACACAAAUAUGAAGGCGGGCUGGAACCUCUCGGGGUUACAGCCUUGCUGAAUUAUUCACCCUUGUCUUUUGCGUACUUCUUGUUUCCUUGGUGGGUUCGCCCACCACUAGGACAAACAUAAACCUUUUGUAAUUGCAAUCAGCGUCAGUAACAAAUUAAUAAUUACGACUUUCAACAACGGAUCUCUUGGUUCUGGCAUCGAUGAAGAACGCAGCGAAAUGCGAUAAGUAGUGUGAAUUGCAGAAUUCAGUGAAUCAUCGAAUCUUUGAACGCACAUUGCGCCCUUUGGUAUUCCAAAGGGCAUGCCUGUUCGAGCGUCAUUUGUACCCUCAAGCUUUGCUUGGUGUUGGGCGUCUUGUCUCUAGCUUUGCUGGAGACUCGCCUUAAAGUAAUUGGCAGCCGGCCUACUGGUUUCGGAGCGCAGCACAAGUCGCACUCUCUAUCAGCAAAGGUCUAGCAUCCAUUAAGCCUUUUUUUCAACUUUUGACCUCGGAUCAGGUAGGGAUACCCGCUGAACUUAAGCAUAUCAAUAAGCGGAGGA
rnacentral:rRNA from 1 species